GUAAACAAUUCCAAGUUCCAAAAUGGUCAAUAACAACAGACCAAGACGUCAACGAGCGCGCGUUGUCGUCACAACAACCCAAACAGCGCCUGUUCCACAGCAAAACGUGCCACGUAAUGGUAGACGCCGACGUAAUCGCACGAGGCGUAAUCGCCGACGUGUGCGCGGAAUGAACAUGGCGGCGCUAACCAGAUUAAGUCAACCUGGUUUGGCGUUUCUCAAAUGUGCAUUUGCACCACGCUUCCAUGAACGUGGGUAUUUACCCAACGUCGAACUUGAUGCAGUUUACCGGAAGCAUAACUGUUUGGAAAUGCCCUGUAAAGCUGAGUACUGUGCAAUUCCCGGUUGCAACAGAUCCAGCCACCAGUUCGCUAGUUCAUACUCUUGUUGGUUUAGAUGGUGUUCUAGCGGUGGGGCCUGACAACUUCUCUGAGUCAUUCAGCCCUUUUUGAAGGAUUUGGCUUUUAGAAGCAUCCGGACGCCAACCUAACCGGGCAAGUAUCCGAACAAUCGGACAUUUGGCCACAAUAAGCCCAAUUUGGUUGAAGAUUAAAGUAGUGAGCCCCCUUAGCGCAGCAAAACAUGCCACGUAAUGGUAGACGCCGACGUAAUCGCACGAGGCGUAAUGAAACCGGAAUUUAUAUUCCAAACCAGUUUAAGUCAACAGACUAAGGU
rnacentral:sRNA from 1 species